AGCGAACGCUGGCGGCAGGCUUAACACAUGCAAGUCGAACGGGCAUUUCGGUGUCAGUGGCAGACGGGUGAGUAACGCGUGGGAACAUACCUCUUGGUUCGGAACAACACAGGGAAACUUGUGCUAAUACCGGAUAAGCCCUUACGGGGAAAGAUUUAUCGCCGAGAGAUUGGCCCGCGUCUGAUUAGCUAGUUGGUGUGGUAAAAGCGCACCAAGGCGACGAUCAGUAGCUGGCUGAGAGGAUGAUCAGCCACAUUGGGACCGAGACACGGCCCAAACUCCUACGGGAGGCAGCAGUGGGGAAUAUUGGACAAUGGGCGCAAGCCUGAUCCAGCCAUGCCGCGUGAGUGAUGAAGGCCCUAGGGUUGUAAAGCUCUUUUGUACGGGAAGAUAAUGACGGUACCGUAAGAAUAAGCCCCGGCUAACUUCGUGCCAGCCGCCGCGGUAAC
rnacentral:rRNA from 1 species